rnacentral:SRP_RNA from 1 species
CUGCACUAACCGGGGAGAUAGCGGUGCCCUGUAACCUGCAAUCCGCUAUAGCAGGGGCUAAUUCCCGACCGAGGGUGUGUGCUGUGUUGACUGACCCCGGUAAGCAGUGUUGACAACCCGGUCUUGCGCAACGUGAUCCCGUGAAUCAUGUCAGGCGGGGAACCGAGCAGCAUUAAGCGGAGCUUUCCGUGUGCCGCGAGGCUGCCGGGUUCGAGCCGGCUGCCGGCGUAACGGGCAUAGUUCAUUAUCCGGAGUCGGGUGUGCAG